rnacentral:lncRNA from 1 species
CUUGAUGAAGAACCCAGGCAAGUGCAAGUUGUGCAGCUGUACAUCCAUGCUUUUCAGCCAACUUCUCUACUUUCGAAUAUAGGAUCCUAUUUUUCUCCAAGUUUUCUCCACUAAACCUUGGGAACAUUCUCUUCAAAAGUAAAUGUUUGUAAUCAGUCAAUCUGUUUUUCACAACUUAGAAGCAUGUUACUGUAAAUAUUAAGGUCCUAUGUUAUCUGAACUCUUCAUUUUCUUUAAAUAUUCAUAUCCAACAUGUUUCUGACAUCUAUUCGGAUAUAAAUGCAAGGGUAACAUCCUUCUAAUAAAUGAAAACGAAACCUAGAUAAAAAUUAAAUAUACUCAUGUCGAACACAUAUCCAUUAUCCAACACUUACUCUUGAGUCCGUAUAACAUAGGUUAAGUACAGAUUAAAGCCAAAUAAUGUGAGUCUCCAUACCAGAGGCGUAUUAGAGGUAUCUUUAUUCGCUCUACCGGCAAAGAAACCACGACCAAGUGGACUAUAUGGAACAAUCCCGAUUCCAAGUUCCCUGCAUUGUUGAACACAUUGAAGUAGGUAUAAUCUCACAGCAGUUGAAAGAGUUAAAACUGUUGAUGGCAUGAGUUUAUUGAGUCUCAAGAGUACUCAAAAAAACAUUUUAACUUCCCAAAUGAAGAAGACUAUCAAUAAUCAAAUUUCAAUCUAUAUGAACAAAAGGGUAUUUUUAUAACCCCCCAAAUAUAUAAAAUUUUGAAUAUAUCUAUACUUGAUACUCAUUCAAAUCCAAAUAACAUUUAAGUGACUUAAGAAAAAAAGUUAUGAUGAUUCAAGAUAGAAGAAUAAACCUGCAAAGGGGAAUUAUUUCUUCCUCAACAUCACGAGUCCAGAGCGACCACUCAAGUUGUACUGCAGUAAGAGGAUGAACAGCGUGUGCCCUCCUUAUAGUUUCGGGGCUAGCUUCAGAUAUACCAAUGUACUUUAUUUUUCCCUCUUCCACCAACUUCUUCAGUUCUUCCAUCUAUCAUACAUGAAAUAAAUAUAAAUUAUGCUUAAUUUUCCCAUAAACAAAAUACAGGGUUUUUAAUGCAGCAAUGCUUACGGUAUCUUCUAUAGGAGUCUUGUGGUCAACUCUGAUUAUAUAGUAAAGAUCAAUAUAAUCCACAUCAAGGCGUUGAAGGCUAGCCUCAAGUGAAGAACGAACAAAUUCAGGAGUGCCAUUGAUAACCGGACCACCUGGACCCAUGCUUUCAACACCGAAUUUUGUAGCCAACUGUACCUUCUCUCGUGGCAAAUGCUUCAAUGCCUGCAAAAAAGGUUUCCCAGAUUCCUUCAAAUCAUAUCGAUUUCAUAAACUAAAAAAAGCCAUCUCUCGCGCAUAUCUUCGAACAUGUAAUUGACACAAAAGUGUGGGACAUUGUGAGAGUGAAAGGAUCCCUCACAGUUCAAUGUAAUUCAACUUGAAGAGUUGAUCAAACAAAGGAUGUUACCUUUCCAACCAGAAUUUCGUUAGUUUUGGGUCCAUACAUGUCGGCUGUAUCGAAAUGAGUGAUUCCUCUUUCGAAUGCGUGCUUAAUGAUGGCUAUGCCAGCUUCAUCUGACACUGAAUUAUUGUGACCUGAAAGACCCAUACACCCAAAUCCCAGCUUUGAAACCUGUAAGCAAAAAACAAUGGAUUUUAGUUUUACCCCCGAAGAAAAAGCAUUUUCUUAACUAAUAAUAUAACUAGAAAGAAACACAAUCUCAAACCUCAAAUCCUUGAGUUCCAAGUUUCACUCUAGGAAUCUGAAUUGCCAUUUUUUGUUCCCUUUUUUUUUUUCUUCUUCUUCUUCUUCUUGGUGUUCUACAAACAAAGGCUUCUCUGAUUACCGAACAGCUCAAAACAUACCGUUAAAUAGAAGAUCUUGAGGCCUUUACCCAGAACCUUGUUCUUAGCUUUGUCAACAUUUGCUUACAUCAUUAUGGUGUCAGCCCGUAUGUAAUCGUUUUAGUCUACUAGAGAAAAAAACUAAUAAAUAAUCAUCAUCACAAAGAGGCAAAGCAUUUUUUCUUUAUCCAAAAAAAAAGGCAAAGAAUUGGUCAAAAGAUAUAUACAAUAAGUAAAUCAUGUCAUGUGUGUUAAUCAAUAAUCAGAUAAACAUCCUGAGAAAGGGGCCGUAAUACCUCCUUUCAUUCAUUUUUUUUCAAAGGUUCUUGUCUUUUUCUAGAAAGUCAAUGUUUUUACUGAAACAUUCAUAUUGCUGGUAAAAUUCUGCUAUUAGUAUAUCUAUUUUGCAAAUGUUGUUUAAUUUAAUCAAUUUUAAUUUUUAUAUUUUCCAGAUUGAUCAAUUUUAGUUUUUAUAUUUUUUGAGUUUUGAAAUUUUAGUCAUGACUCAGUUAAAUUUAUUUGGUUAAAUUUAAUUAUUAGACGUAGAAAUAUCAAGUUGACAUGACAUCACAUAUAUGACAAUAUGUUUAUAGUAUCAAAUUUUAGAAAUAGUAAAAUCUAACUUAAUGAAUUUAACGGUUAUAGUUUGGUGAGGACAAAAACAUUAAAAUUUAAAAGGUACAAGGUCUAAAAAUACCAAAUUAAAAUAGAAUUAAACCCAUAACUUUGUAAAAUAUAGGGACUAAUAGCUGAAUUUAACCUAUAUUGCUAUAACUUCAUUUUAUUUUAUAAAGCAACCAUUUUUCCUUUUUUGUCAACUUUUUUCACAUGUUUAUAUCGGUAUAUUAAAAAAAAAAGUUCAAAUAUCUAGAGAAUUUUAGAAUAUCAAUUUUUUGAAUAUAUAUAAAAUACAAAUGUUUCAAAAAUUAAUAAAUACUCAAAGCUGUGAAUAAAGAACAUAAGACGAAAUAAGUUGUUCGGAUUUUUUAAAUUAAAUGUAAAAUUAUUGCUUAAAUUAUAUUUUUAUUUUUAUUUUUUACUUUUAACUAUUUAAAAUGUUUUUUUGUCAAAGUUGAUAUUUAAAUUAUUAAUAUUGUCUUAUUUAUUUUUAAAUAUGAUAUUAGUCAAUAAAAACAAAACAUGUGAUACAUUUUUAUUAUAUGUCUCAUACUUUUUGCGAUAAAAUGAAACUAAAUUCAUAAUUUUUAUAUAUUUUUUUUAUAAAAAUCAAUAAAUAUUUAAGUGAGAAAUGGAUAUAAUUUAAAGUCAAAUUUUAUAGUUAAUUUUUCUUGCUUUUUUUUGAAGUAUUAAUUUAAUCUAAGGAUUUUUAAGUCUUCGUUAACUAUAUUUUUGUGCUAGGUAAGUUGGGAGAAACUACUAAGAACAAAUUUAUUGGGUUGAUUAGGGCAUUAAGUAUAUUUUUAUCUUAGUCGCAAAUUAAUUUAUAACGACACUAUUAAAAUUGAUCAUAAUCCAUUUAGUCUAAAUUUAAAUUUUGUUGGCUAGACAAGUAAAUCAUAUAAGCACAUAACUGAAUAAAUAAUUAAAAAAAUUGAAACAAUCAACGAGAAAAUAUGAUCCAUCAUUGUUUCAAGACAAUAAAGUUUAUUUCGUGUUGAAUUGAGCAAAUCACACAAAAAAAAAAUUAAAACAAAUUUGUAUAAAUACAACGUAAUAAAAAAUAAUAUAGAGAGAAAAAUAGUUAUAGAAUUUAUGCCAGAGUACUCCGAAUCUCUUUUUCUUUUAUCUUUGCAAUCUUGAAGUUUCUCUUGGUGUAGAGAGAGUUAUUUCUUAGCCUCUAAGUGAUUUCUUUUUAUUUUCCUUCUUUUUUUCCCUUAAAUCUCAUCACCACCGACCGCUUGCUAUCAAAUUAGUUGACAAACUUUUAAACAAAAUUAGUUGAGUCAGGACUUGAACAAUUUUGUAGACAUGUGUUGACUCAUAUUUAAAUAUCUAUACUGUAGAGUCUUUGAAGAUUAAAUCAUUCUAAGUAAACCCUCCAAUUAAAUGCAUCUUCUGGGUUUGUAUGUAAGGUUGAAGGUGGCUUCGAUGAAGGGAUCACGUCAGUUCUACGAUUCCGGUCCCGAGGCGUCAAUCCAAGCCUCCAAUCCAAAUUUAUCAAAACAAAAACCGAAUAAAAUGAGUUCUUAAAGAAAAUAAAGGGUUUAAAGUUUUUUUGGUCGAAAGAAAAGAUUUCCUUCCAAUUUUUUUCGGCCACUGUCAAGGUUACUCGGCCGUCAGAACUCGAAAAUUUUGGGAUCUCCGGCAGUGGAGCCGGCCGAUAGCAAUCAACAGGGGCAGCCGCAUCUUUAGAGAAAAAAUAAGGUGUUUUGGUUUUCGGCAGAAAUAAUGAUUAGUAUAUAUAUUGAGCCUUUUGGUUGGUAUAUUUGUUAAUAAGUCCUUCCGUUCUGUUUUUUAUUUUUAGGAUUUCCGCAUUUUAAAACGACAAUUUUGGUCCUUGUGAUUUUUGCUUCGUUUUUCAAUAUUGCAAUUUUCGGCUGGAAAAAUUACCGGAUUAGUCCACUGACUUUAUAUAUAUUAAAAAAUAUUUUAUGAAUUAUGAUUAUUUUUGGUAUAUGUUAUGUUUCUUCGUUUUACUUGAAUUUUGAGAUUUCUUUUAGGUUAUGUUAGAUUAUAUUUAGAAUUCUUUGACCUAGAUCUUGAGAUUCAAAUAAUAUACCUUUUAAAAAAAAUAAAUCUUAGGAUUUAAAUAGGUUAAAGUUUUAUUUUUCUAAUUUAGAUGUUCAAAGAGGUUAGAAGUUUGUUUUUCUAAUUUAAAUCUUAGGAUUAAUUUAGAUCUUAGGAUUUAAAUAGGUUAGAAUCUAAUUUAGAUAUUAGCAGGGGUGAAGUCAAAAAAAAUUUUUAGGAGGUCAAAAUUAAAUUGUAAUUUUUACGAUAGUAAAAAUGUAAUUUCACCAUUUUAAUAGUCUAUAUAUUUAUAAUUGUUAAAUGAUUAAAUCAAAUUUUUAUUAUUUUAGGAAGUCAAAGUGUAAUUUUACCUUUUCUAAUUUAAAAUACUAAAAAUUAUAAAUGACCUAAAUAGAAAAUUUUUCAUUUUUCGAGCCUGGGGCUCUCCCAGCCCCUAGAUGUUAGGAUUCAAUUUAUAUUUCUAAUUUAAAUCUUAACAUUCAAAUAGGUUAGAUUUCUCUUUCUUUACUUAGAUCCUAUGCUAUAGAGGUUAGAAUUUUAAUUUUCUGUCAAUUCUUAUAGGUUAGAAUUUAAACUUCCAUCAAUUAGAUUUUAAAGUUUUAUUAUAUUAGAAUUAAAAUUGAUUAGCUCGGAUAUUCUGAUUUUUUUAAUAAUAUUAAAUUUUGAGCAGUUUAAAUUUCGAUUUAGGAUUAUAGGAGUCAAUUUUGAAAUUUUUGAACUAGAAAUCUUUAGCACCAAAUUUUAUAGGAUUAUCUUUAGAUAGGCGUUGUAAGAAUGCUAUAAUCUUUCUUACAUUUAAUUAUACUCUCGAACUUCAAUUUUGGUGCGAGUCUGAAUCUAAUUUUUUAAGAUUUUUCCUCAAGAAUAGUUCUAAAGUCGUAGGCAAUAGGCAAUUAACUGACCUAAUUUAAAUUGGUUAAUGACGAUCCUAUUGCACGUUGGGCCAAAAUUCAUGUAUAAUUUAUAAAUACACUACUUAUCCUUAAAUUUUAUUUAAAAUGAUUUUUUGUUUGAUUUAUAUUAUGUUAUCUAUUUAAAUUUUUGCAGAUUUGAAUAUUUGACGAGUAAUAAUACUUAAUUCAAAUAUGAAUAGUUAUACUCAGAUAAUUUAUAAAUUUAAAUUUUUAAGUAAAUUUACGGAUUUAAAUAAUAGACAGAAGUUUAAGCCAAUAAAGGUUAGUGAGAGUAUACCACAUGUAAGUCCUUAAACUACACAAGAGGUGCUCAACCAUAUAUUAUAUAUUUGCAUCAUUUCGACAACUUCCCAAACCAACUAAACUCUCUAAUAAACUUAUCUUAAAAAACUCAAACCCCAAAUUUGAAUUCGUCAUUGUUCUCUUUUUGAAAUUUAGGGUCUCAACUUUCUAAUUGUUUUUAUAUUGUUUUUAUAUUGCGAUUUGAACUAUUUUCCUAAUCAAAUUAAUCUUUAAAUUAGUAAUUACACUUACAUUUAAGUCUGAAUUUUUUUUCUAAGUUAAUAUUUGAAUUUAAUUGUUCUUAAAUUAAGAUAUGAUUUUUUUAAAACAAAUAUGAAGGACUAACUUUGAUAGAAAAAAUUUAAAUUUCAAGAAUAAUUUUCAAAUUCAAGGAUUUACUUAGAAAAAGAAUUUAUUUGCUUGUAUUAUAAAACUUUCACUUUAUGAGAGAAGAUAAGGUUACAAAACCAAAUUAAAUAUUAACAAUUGAGCUUUGAAAGAAAUAAUCUGUGAGUAAAAUAGUUUUUAAUUGAUUGAGGAUAGAGUGAUGUAAUUCAGUUGAGUCUUUUCAAAGUUAAAAUUGGAAGUAAAUGAUUGAGUAGAAUUUAUAAAUGUACUUUUUUUGAAGUUCUUGAGAAAAGUUAAAUGAUAUUUUCAUUAAAAAUUAAAAGUAAAUAUUUUAACUAAUGCAUGACAAUGACUUUAUUGUGCUAUAAGUAAGUUGUUUAAGUACUAUGUUAGUCAAUUCAAAUGAGAGAACAGAGAGAUCAAGAACUAUAUUAGAACAAUAAAAACAUACAUUGAUUAAACAAUAGCUACAACUCUAUUCGUCCAAGUAAACACUUACACUUAAUUAUUUCAAACAACUAAAAAGAACACGAUACAAAAUAUGACACAACAACAUCAUAAAUACUGAACCCUCCAUUAAUGACAAUCCAAACUUUAGUAACUCAUCAAUCUUUCAAUGGCUGCAGUUUCUUGGGAAAUCCAUUCAUCCCAACACCCAUGAAGCUUUGCUUCUAAACCUAGGUCCUCUUGUUUGGUGGUGUAUUGCCAUAUUUCCAAGUGAAUUGCUUUAAACCUUCAGGAUAAGUACCCCCUGCAACCUCAUGGAUUGGGAUCGCAUCUGUAAUUUCUUUCAAAUCUUCUUUUGUCAGCUUUACUUUCACUGAUUCAAUGUUGCUGUCUAGAUUUUUAAUCUUGGUUGUUCCUGUAAGAAGUGAAAACAAUGUGUCAAAAGCUUUGGUUAUAUAUAUAAAUUGGCCUUUGGUACAGGAUUUUUCAGGCCAUUCUUAGUUACUGGAACUUGUAUCAGAGUGUCCAACACAGAUAUGUUCAUUUUCCUAAGGUUUUACAUAUAUCUGGAGGAAUAUGCUAGAAAAUUCUAUGCUAUUUCUGCAGGUUACUAACUUACUCCGACUGUUUUUUCUUCAAGUAUCCGUGUCUAAUACCCAACAUAUUUUGACAUGAGUAUUGAAUACAAUUCUCCAAAUAUAUGAAAAUUUUCAAAAAAAUAUAAGAGUUCACUUAUAUUGGAUCACCUCGGAAUUCAAGUUGAAAGUGAUUGAAUGGGACUUACCGGGAAUAGGAGAAACAUCAUCCCCUUGAUGAAGAACCCAGGCAAGUGCAAGUUGUGCCGGUGUACAUCCAUGCUUUCCAGCCAACUUCUCUACUUUCGAAUAUAGGAUCCUAUUUUGCUCCAAGUUUUCUCCUUGAAACCUUGGGAACACUCCCUUAAAAAAUAAAUGUUUGUAAUGAGUCAACCGAUCUGUUUUUUUUACAACUUAGAAGCAUGUUACUAUGUUAUCCGAAUUCUUUAUUUUCUUUAAUUACUCAUAUCCAACAUGUCUCUGACACAUAAUUGGAUAUAAGUAUGAGAGUAACAUCCUUCAAAUAAAUGAAAAUGAAACUUAAAAAAUGUUUUUUUUACAACUUAGAAGCAUGUUACUAUGUUAUCCGAAUUCUUUAUUUUCUUUAAUUACUCAUAUCCAACAUGUCUCUGACACAUAAUUGGAUAUAAGUAUGAGAGUAACAUCCUUCAAAUAAAUGAAAAUGAAACUUAAAAAAAACUGAAUAUAUUCAUGUCGCACACAUAUCUGUAUCCAACACUUACUCCUGAACCCAUAUAACAUAGAUUAAGUAUAGGUUAAAGCUAUAUAAAGUGAGUUUCCAUACCAGAGAACUAUUAGAGGUAUCCUCCUUCGCUUUACCGGCAAAGAAACCAUGACCAAGGGGACUAUAUGCAACAAUCCCAAUUCCGAGUUCCCUGCAUUGUUGAACACAUUUAGGCAGACAUAACCUCAGAGCAGUUGAAGGACUUAAAACAGUUGAUAACUUGAGAAAAGACAAUCAAUAAGUGAAUUUCAAUCUAUUUGAGCAAAAGGGUAUAUUUAUAUCCCUCCAAAUAUAUAAAAAAUUGAAUAUACCUAUAUUCGAAAAAAAAAAUUACGAUGAUUGAAGAUAGAAGAAUAAACCUGCAAAGGGGAAUUAGUUCUUCCUCAACAUCACGAGUCCAGAGCGACCACUCAAGUUGUACAGCAGUAAGAGGAUGAACAGCGUGUGCCCUCCUUAUAGUUUCGGGGCUAGCUUCAGAUAUGCCAAUGUACUUUAUUUUUCCCUCUUCCACCAACUUCUUCAGUUCUUCCAUCUAUCAUACAUGAAAUAAAUAUAAAUUAUGCUUAAUUUUCCCAUAAACAAAACAAAAUUGUAUUUGUGUUAAAGAAAGACAAAAUAGGGUUUUUAAUGCAGCAAUGCUUACGGUAUCUUCUAUAGGAGUCUUGCGGUCAACUCUGAUUAUAUAGUAAAGAUCAAUAUAAUCCACAUCAAGGCGUUGAAGGCUAGCCUCAAGUGAAGAACGAACAAAUUCAGGAGUGCCAUUGAUAACCGGACCAUCUGGACCCAUGCUUUCAACACCGAAUUUUGUAGCCAACUGUACCUUCUCUCGUGGCAGAUGCUUCAAUGCCUGCAAAAAAAGAAAUGAUGUUGAUUUCCCAGAUUCCUUUAACGAGCCAAGAACCAGAAUGAAAACAUUAAAUCAUAUCGAUUUGAUAAACUAAAAAAUUCCAUCUCUCACGCAUAUCUUCGAAUAUGUAAUAGACACAAGAGUGUGGGAAAUUGAGAACAUGAAAGAAUCGCUCUCAGUUUCAAUGUGAUUAAGCUUGAAGAGAUGACGAAAGGAUGUUACCUUUCCGACCAGAAUUUCGUUAGUUUUGGGUCCAUAGAAGUCGGCUGUAUCGAUGUGAGUGACUCCUCUUUCGACUGCAUGCUUAAUGAUGGCUAUGCCAUCUUCAGCUGACACUGAAUGAUCGUGACCUGUAAGACUCAUACACCCAAAUCCCAGCUUUGAAACCUGCAGCAACCAAAAAAUAAUAGAUUUUACCCCCCAAAAGAAAACGCCAUUUUCUUAACUAAUAUAAACUAGUAGGAAACAAAAUCUCAAACCUCAAAUCCUUGAGUUCCAAGUUUCACUCUAGGAAUCUCAAUUGCCAUCUUUUGUUUCCUUUUUCUUCUUCUUCUUCUUUGUGUGCUAUAAACAAAGGCUUCUCUGAUUACUGAACCUCUCAAAACUUACAUUAAAUAGAAAAUUUUGAGGUCUUUAUCCAGUAUCUUAUCUUGUUCUCAGCUUUGUUAACAUUCUUACGUCAUUAAGUAUGUCAUCCCAUAUGCCUCAAUUGAAUGAGUGGAUAAAGCUCUUUUUCAGACACGUUUGACACUGUUUAAAUUGGUUAAAUAUAUCAUUUGGUACCUAAGUUUGAUCUUUUUUCUAAUUUGAUAUUUGUGUUAUUUUAAGGUAAAUGACAAAAAUGGUCACUAAAUUGGGGUGAAAUUUCCUUUUUUGCCUCUAAACUAUGAAAAGUUACAUUUUUAUCACUAAAGUUAUUUACUUAUAACAUUUUUAUCACUCGUCUGUUAAUAGAAAAGUGAGGUGUGGUACAUUAAUUUAAGGAUUAAUAUCUAAUUUGAUCAUUAAACUAUAGUUAAGAUAUAAUUUGAUAUUUUUAUAACAUUUUUAAUAAGAAAAAAAUAAAAAAAUCCUAAAAAUUUAUUAUUUAUUUUUUGAAAUUAUGAAAAUAUUUUUAAAAAUUGUAAUUAUGUAAAAAAAUUAUAAAAAUUUUAUAACAAGCAAAACACGUAUUUUACAAAUUAAAAGAAAAAUACGUUUUUAUUGGUAUAGCAUAAAACCAUUUUGCAUAAUAUCUUGGAUAUAAUUAAAUCUGAUCAACUCGUCUGCUACUGUAGCUUUCAGUGCUGAAAAGCAAGCCAAGCCUUUUCCUUUGAGCAGCUACAGGGAAACCGACAAUGAUUGAACUAUUAGACCCAAGCUGCGUUACAGCCGCGCAGCUCUACGUAAAGUCAUGGUCACGUAGUGCAAAUACGUAUUUUGUUUAUUAUAUAAUUUAUAUUUUUUUUGUUUUAUUUUUUACAUGAUUAUAAUUUUAAAAAAUAUAAUUUCAAAUAAAUGAUGAAUUUUCAAAAUAAUUUAAGAUUUUUUUAUAUUUUUAGAAUUUUUAUUUUUUUGAAAUUAUUGUUAAAAAUGUUAUAAAAGUACUAAAUUGAAUGUUUAAGCUAUAAUUUAGGGAUCAAAUUGGAUAUUAAUCCUUGAAUUAGAGGCCAAAAUAUUAUAAGUUGAUAACUUUAGUGACUAAAAUAUAACUUUUCAUAGUCUAGUAAAAAAAAUCACCAAAGUUUAAUGAUCAUUUUUAUAGUUUACCCUUAUUUUUAUUCAAUAUGAUACAUAUGCUUGACAAGAAAAAAAAAUGUCAUCUCAUAUUUUUUUUUGUUUGAUAUAACAUUUCGUACUCAAGUUUGAAUUUUUUUUAAUGCCAAAUCUAUGUUAUUUUUAUCCAAUAUAAUACAUGCAUUUAAAAAAAAUUUAUAUAUUUUCGUAUCUAAAAAUAAAAAUAUUAAUUUUCUAGAUUCGGGUUUUAAUAUUAAUUUAGUGAAAAAUAACUUCUAAUAUUUAAUGUUUGAAUUUUUCAUGAUUUUCUUAAUAGAUUAAAUUUAGUAUUAUUUGUAAAUUUGUUUAGUUUUGCAUUAAAUUAUUUAAAUACAACUUGAUGGAUAUGAUUUAAUUCAAGUUUUAGGAUCGAUGUGAUGAAAUUUAAUUGCUAAUAUUAUCAGCCAAUUACGAAUUUUCAUCCAACUCUAAAAUUCGGAUUAAACAUUAAAAAGUUGGCAUCUUUAACUUCAGGUAUCAGUUCUGGAAUAAACACUAAAAAGUUACCAUUGUUAGCUUUUGGUAUCAAAAUAUAUAACUUUUGUCAAAUAUAAGUACCAUUUCUAUAUAGACUUCCUCGUCAAUUUCAUCAACAAUGCAAGCUUACAUUUAAUUUAUAGUCUUUUCAAGUACAGCAGUAGUCGGAUCUGAUUGGACAAUGACUCUAAUUUCCUCUAAAAAUCCUUCUUGAGUUUAGCUCGAUUAGUACGGAUCAUUUGGGACCAACUUAUUAAAUUAGAUCCCAUAGCCUUUAUUUUUUCCAGAAAGGUACCGUUGGAAAGGUCCCGUGACCUCUCUGACCUCACCUUGGCAGCUUUCCUCCAUAACUCGAGAGGCCUCCAUUCUGAAAUUCCUUGUAGAAUUGGAUAGUCCAGCUCGAGAAAUAAAAUCUUCAGUACAAAUAUUAAUGUGUAGUGAUCCAACUGGGGUAUACCAGGUGCUGGACUGAGUAGCGUGGAAAAAGAGACCACCAGUUCAAGUUCGCCACACAUUGGUCUAGUCUCCCACAAACGUUGGUUACCAUCGUUAAGCCUUUUUCCCAUGUGAACUAAGGACUAUUGCAAACUCUACCACCCUGUUAGAAAGUGCAACUUAUCAUUGAAUUUUGAGUACGAAGGACAAGAGGGAAACUAAAUACUAUUUGGUGCUGCAAAUCUCGGACAAAAUCAGUUCCCUUCUCCUGGUUGUCUACCACAGCCAAUUCCAGGUUAUCGCCAAGCUCUUGGUUUUUUGAAACAGAGAAUUCAUUAUUCUAUGAUAAAGCCAACUCAUGGUCAACAUAGUCAGGUUUUCAAUCAGUAGCUAACUUGUUAUCAUGUCUAUAAAUAUGACCAACAUCCCCUUCUUUCUCAUGAUAAUGCCAUAAACCUAGGAUGUGAUCAUAAGCCUGUCCUGUCCCAGUGUGUCUCAAGCUAUGGUUAUGGCCUAACACCAGUUGCUGGUUCUGCUUUUAUUCUAGAUUGUGGCUUUGUGCAUAGAUCAUGUCAUGAUUAGCCAUUGAAUAAAUUAAUCACAGUGUUAAUUCACAAUGCAUUCAACAAGCCUUAUUUAUCAGCAUUUAUUUACAAAACAAAAUCACAUUGCUUUCAUUCAUUUACAUAGUUCUAACAUUAAAUUCAUUUAAAAUAAACAAGAAGUUGAAGCCCAAAGAAUGAAUACCCAAUGGAAAGAACAGCUUUAGCAAGUCCAGGAAAAUCAGACAAUGCUGAAUAAGUGCCUGAAACAAAAGCUAUCACCGUUGCAGUAAUCCCAUAACUCGUUAACAACGAAGUAAUAUACGUAUAAAAUGCAUGGGCAUCGAGUUUUUCCACAAACGAUUUGCAGUAAUGGAGGAACAUCGAUGUGGACGAGAAGCAAAAGGCCAACGCAUUAGCUAUCACAAACACUCUAAAAGCCAAUUUUCUGCUUAAAAUCGCCAUUCCUUCCUCGGGGCCAUCGCUUUUGUACCCACCGGGCGUGGUGAAACCCGCGGCGAAUGAGAUGAUGGCGAUCAGUGUUGUCACCAGUAAGUUUAUGCUGGCGAUGGUAUGGAGUUGAUCGGAGCUUGGUUUCUUGAUCGCUGCAGGUUCGGGUCUUUUGUUGGGAAUAAGUUGUGGUUGGGUUUCAAUGGCGACAGGGGACCAUGUUGUUUGUGGUUGUUCUUGAUUUGCUGUUGUCGAUUCAGUAGAUCUUGUUUUUCUUCCGUCCUUGUUGAUUGCAUGCAUGUUCUAAGCUUUCUAGACCUCUAUUGCUUGCAACACUCAUUGUAAUCCAAGUCAGUAAGUAGCUCAAUUUGAGAUAAAUAUCCAAUUAUUUGAUCUUUAGAUUUGAUUAUGCUUGUUUACCUAAUAAAAAAUUUUCAAGGAUUAAAAACUCCUCAAAUUAAAUAAGUAGAAAUAUUUUUCAAUUUUAUUGUUGCUUUAUAAUUUUGGUUGAUAUAAUAACAAAUUAAGUCUUUGAUGUUUAUAUAUUAUGUUAAUUUGAUUUUGAUUCUGAAUAAAUUAUAUAAAAAAGAUGUAUUUAAAUAUAGAUAGACUGUGUAAACUGUAAGAUUAAAUUUACUAUUAUAUUAAUUAAAAUUUUAUAAAUUGAUGAUGAAUCAUUAAUUGGUUUUAGAUUAAAAUAUUCUAUUUUUUUUGAAAAUUAUGACCCGUUUGGUUAUAUCAAAAUUGAGAGGGAUAUGAAGGAUAUUUUUACUGAUUAAAUAUAAAGUAAAAUGACACUCAGGGAUCAAUUCCAUUUUUUUAUUUUUCACUUACUCUUGAAUAACAUGAUACUUCUUGUGCAAGAGUUAGUUCGCUCAAAAUAUUCUUCAACGAAAUUACUUGAGAAGUGCACACUGCAGCAACUAUGUAUUUUACUUCACAUGUUGAAAAGGCAUUAAAUUUUAAAAAAUAAAGGUAUUGGGAUUAAAUUGAAAAUGUAUAAAGAGUAUAAGCACUUAGAACAUGUUUUGACUUUUAAAUUUUAUUCCAUAAUUUGCUCCAAAAAUUAAUUUAUUCCAAUGCGAAGCGUGGCAAGAACUAUACUAUAAUGAGUAAAUCACAGGGAUAAGCACUUCAAAUUUUCAAGAAAUUUUACAAUACUUAAAUCAAAAACUCCUAACAUUCAUAAAUAAGAGGAUAAUAAAUACUUAAGUACACUCAAAUCCUUUUGACUGUUGCAACAGCAGUGGUGCCAAUUGAUUUGAAGCUAAAGCAAUAAUUUUUAUAAAUUAUUUAAAAUUAAUUGUAAAAAAUAUAAAAUAUAAACUUAUUUUUUUAUUUUAUUUUAAAUUUUAAUAUAUAAAUAAUUAAGCGGAUGUUAACUGAGGUAUGACAUUAUUUUUAUUAUAACAAUCAGGACAAUGUGAAUUUAAACGGAAUUUUGAAUCAAAUAGUAUUGAAAAGGGUUUUCAUCAUUAUUUCCAUUAAUAUUACAAUCAUACUACAAGCCAAGCAAGUGCAGUACACCCUAAGGCUCAAACAAACCUUCAAAUUCUAUGAAAUUUUUUAGGAUUUAUUACAAACCAAGCAAAUGGAAGCACACACUAAGGCUCAAACAAUGAGGUAAGCACACACUAAGGCUCAAACAAUGCCUCAAUUUAUUAUCAACUUUUUUGCAGAGCUGGUAAUGAUAAUCGUAUGCCCCGUGAUAAUAUCAAUAUAUUACCAAGAAGGCAGUGAAGCAGCAGCCAUGAAAGCGACAAACUAUUCGUAGUUAUAAACAGUACAACGCGAGUUCAGAUCAGGCUUCCACCAAUGGCGAAGUUUAUGAGGUGAAAUGCUUUCUUCGGGAGGACUGAGAUUCUCUAUAAGAUUUGCCGAAGGAAGCAACUGAAGCGGCUCCGAAAUUGCAACAUCCAUUAUUUUCAGUUCUUUGAUCACUAUAUUUCUUAGUGAAUGAUGGCUUAUUAGUCCCCAAACUCCAACGUCGUCGCUCUUUCUUCUCUUCUUGAAAUGUUCAAUAUCUCCUUGACAUGUGAAGUCUCUACUAUUCACAAACAAACAUGGGUUCCACCCUGAUAUUGCAGCAAAUGAAUCUUCAUCACCACUAUAUCCCAAAGCAAGGACAACGCCGCCUUUGAUAACAGUGAUUGUCAGUUGAAGUCCACGUAUCACAUUCUUGUUGUCUUUGAAGAUUGUCUCAAUUGGGAAAGAUGCAUAUGGCGGAUUAAACAAAAAACUUUACAAGAAUUUGCCUCUUUUCACCGUAUUCUUUCCAGCAAGCAUUGCGAUGGCUGCCCCUAGGGAAUGACCAGUUAACCAUACCUUUGAAGAACCAGCCUUUGACACCCUAUCUUCAACAUAUUUCAUGGCGGUCCGAACACGACUAGUUUGAUGAAGUGUAUAGGAUUAUUGCGAAAUCCGACUCAAGAUCCCUUUUCCAAGUUUCUCGUUUGAAUAGGGUACCUCGAAAGGCGAUCACGUAUCCAGGGCCUGGAUUAGUUGCCGAAGGAAACACAUAUUCAAGAAUGGCACCAAAGAUGCUUUCAUCAUCCUCAUGGACGAGCUCAUUCACUAACUUGAAGUUGAAAAACUCCCACCAUUGUGGCGCAAGUGUCUCAGAGCCUCCACGUAAUUCCACUUGUCGGUCACGUUCCCGCUCGGAAACACCCUUGACCAAGCUGGCUGAUAAGGAUCUUCGAUGGCUGUCGUCGUUCCUAUCAAUGGUGGUAAGGUUUUUGGGUCCCACAAGACUAAAAGGUUCUCUUCCACGAGACGUAUAUUAUAGCACUGGAAACUAUUGACGUGGGUACGAGGGCUUUGGGUGAUGUGGGUUUCAGGCUAUAUGGUGGUUAAAGCAGGUUGUGCAAUGGUGACUGUGGUCAGUGAUGUGACAGCGCUGGCGAAUGGACCCGCGGAGCUUGGUCUGGGAGCUCUUAAAUAGAAAAUCUUGAUUAUCCAGUAUCUUCUCUUGGUCUCAGCUUUGUCAACAUUCUUACGUCAUUAAGUAUGUCAUCCCAUAAUGAGUGGAUAAAGCUCUUUUUCAGACACGGUUUAAAUCAUAUGGUUAAAUAUAUAUUUAGUUUUUUUAGAAUUUAUAUUUGAGUUAUUUUAAGAUAAAUUAUAAAAAUGGUUAUUAAAUUGAGGUGAAUUUUUUUAUUAUCUCUGAAUUCUGAAAAGUUAUAUUUUUUUAUUAAAAUUAUCUACUUAUAAUAUUUCGAUCAUUCGUAUGUUAAUAAAAAAGUGAAAUUGUAUAUAUUAAUUUAAGGGUUAAUAUUUAAUUUCAUCAUUAAACGAAUUAAUGAAUGACAAUGACUAUAUUGGGCUAUAAGUAACUUGUUUUAGUAGUAUGUUAGUCAAUUCAAAUGAGAGAAAAGAAGAGAUCAAGAACUAUAUUAGAACAAUAAAAACAUACAUUGAUUAAACAAUAGCUACAACUCUAUUCGUCCAAGUAAACACGAUACAAAAUAUGACGCAACACCAUCAUCAACACUGAACCCUCCAUUAAUGACAAUCCAAAGCUUUAGUAUGUUUCUUGGGAAAUCCAUUCAUCCCAACACCCAUGAAACUUUGCUUCUAAACCUAGGCGCUCUUCUUUGGUGGUGUAUUGCCAUAUUUCCAAGUGAAUUGCUUUAAAUCAUCAGGAUAAGUACCCCCUGCAACCUCUUGGAUUGGGAUCGCAUCUGAAAUUUCUUUCAAAUCUUCUUUUGUCAGCUUUACUUUCACUGAUUCAAUGUUGCUGUCUAGAUUUUUAAUCUUGGUUGUUCCUGUAAGAAGUGAAAACAAUGUGUCAAAAGCUUUGGUUUUAAAUCUCAAUGCAAACUGGCCGUUGGUCCAGGAACUUGUAUCGGAGUGUCCAACACGGAUAUGUUCAUUUUCCUAAGGUUUUACAUAUAUCUGGAGGAAUAUGCUAGAAAAGUCUAUGCUAUUUCUGCAG